CCCUAGGAACAGACCAUAGACACUAUGUUGGUACUUUCAAGAAUAUAAAUACUAUAUUUCCAAAAACCAAGUCAUCCUAUUGAUCUGUCUACAAAUUAUGUGUGACACUGUGAGAAAGAAGAGAGUAGGCUCCAUUUCCAAUGCAGAGCCCCAGACAAGACUUGAACUUACGACUCUGAGAGCAAGAGCUGGGCUGAGACCAAUAGCUGGACACUUAACUGACUGAGCCACUCAGGUAUUGAGCCACACUUGCAGCCCAGGAAUAAAUCCCACAUGG